AGUGAACGCUGGCGGUAGGCCUAACACAUGCAAGUCGAACGGCAGCACAGUAAGAGCUUGCUCUUACGGGUGGCGAGUGGCAGACGGGUGAGGAAUACAUCGGAAUCUACUUUUUCGUGGGGGAUAACGUAGGGAAACUUACGCUAAUACCGCAUACGACCUACGGGUGAAAGCAGGGGAUCUUCGGACCUUGCGCGAUUGAAUGAGCCGAUGUCGGAUUAGCUAGUUGGCGGGGUAAAGGCCCACCAAGGCGACGAUCCGUAGCUGGUCUGAGAGGAUGAUCAGCCACACUGGAACUGAGACACGGUCCAGACUCCUACGGGAGGCAGCAGUGGGGAAUAUUGGACAAUGGGCGCAAGCCUGAUCCAGCCAUACCGAGUGGGUGAAGAAGGCCUUCGGGUUGUAAAGCCCUUUUGUUGGGAAAGAAAAGCAGCAGGUUAAUACCCCGCUGUUCUGACGGUACCCAAAGAAUAAGCACCGGCUAACUUCGUG
rnacentral:rRNA from 1 species